GUUAAUACCUGCCUGAUCAUAUGAUUCUAUACAAUAUAAACUUGCAGCUUUUUGAUCCUUGUUUAUUAGAGUCCACACGCAUAUCACAAAAUGGCAGGAUAAGAUACAAGAACUAGGGUUCAUUUAUAACAUAGGACAGAAAUAUGGCUUUACUAUUAAACAGAUGCAGGUGAUAUGGUUUAAGGUUUCUAAGGACUUAACCAGUACGACGGUAGGCUGUGCAUGCCCUAGACGUAAUGCUGAUACGCAUCCCUUUGCUGAAAUCACUGAUAGAGUUCUAACUAAGAAUAUGAAUAAAGGGAGAUAUUGGAUGGCUCACAGGAGAGGACCUACUGUGUUUAAUGUGUUGCAAAACAAAAAGAUCGUAUCCCAGAAAAUAGGACCGGGUUGUAUUCUAUUCCCCUUUAUAAUAAUGAUGAAGAUGUGAAACAGUGCUAUAUUGGGAGUACCUCUAGGAGCCUGGAAAAAAGAUACGGGAGCACAGAGC
rnacentral:lncRNA from 1 species